rnacentral:rRNA from 1 species
AUUGAACGCUGGCGGCAGGCCUAACACAUGCAAGUCGAGCGGUUGAAGGGAGCUUGCUCCUGGCUUCAGCGGAGGACGGGUGUGUAAUGCCUAGGAAUCUGCCUGGGAGUGGGGGAUAACGUCCGGAAACGGGCGCUAAUACCGCAUACGUCCUGAGUGAGAAAGUGGGGGCUCUUCGGACCUCACGCUAUCAGAUGAGCCUAGGUCGGAUUAGCUAGUUGGUGGGGUAAAGGCCUACCAAGGCGACGAUCCGUAACUGGUCUGAGAGGAUGAUCAGUCACACUGGAACUGAGACACGGUCCAGACUCCUACGGGAGGCAGCAGUGGGGAAUAUUGGACAAUGGGCGAAAGCCUGAUCCAGCAAUGCCGCGUGUGUGAAGAAGGUCUUCGGAUUGUAAAGCACUUUAAGUUGGGAGGAAAGGCAGUAAGUUAAUACCUUGCUGUAUUGACGUUACCAAAAGAAUAAGCACCGGCUAACUUCGUG